UACGUAGGGUGCAAGCGUUAAUCGGAAUUAUUGGGCGUAAAGGGUGCGCAGGCGGAUGUAUAAGUCGGAUGUGAAAGCCCCGGGCUCAACCCGGGAACUGCAUCCGAAACCAUCUCGCUCGAGUGUGGGAGAGGGAAGCGGAAUUCCUGGUGUAGAGGUGAAAUUCGUAGAUAUCAGGAGGAACACCGGCGGCGAAGGCGGCUUCCUGGCCCAUUACUGACGUUCAGGUACGAAAGCGUGGGUAGCAAACAGG
rnacentral:rRNA from 1 species